UUGAGAUGUUUGGGAGCAUUGUGAUCCAAAAAGGGGUGAAAUAUGAGCAUGGAUGGAGGCCUUAGAGAAAUAUUCUGUUGCUAAGAUUUUGUGAAAACACAGCAAAUUGAGUUAGCUUUCUAGUGGAAGUAGUUUAAAGUCAUUUGGAGAUGUAAUGAAGGAGUUAUGAUCAAUUUACUAGAGGCAUAUCCAUCCUGGUCGAGCAUCGCAGAGUGACCUUCCAGAGCGAUACCAUAAGGUAGCUCCCAACCCAGAGCGACCUCCAAAGCGACCCACCUACGUCACUCGCCUUUUCAUCACUUUGGAGG
rnacentral:lncRNA from 1 species